ACUGUCUCGGCCAUGAGCUCGGUGAAAUUGUAGUAACGGUGAAGAUGCCGUUUACCCGCAGUGGGACGGAAAGACCCCGUGAACCUUCACUAUAGCUUUACAUUGACUUUGGGUAAACGAUGUGUAGGAUAGGUGGGAGACUAUGAAGCUGGCACGCUAGUGUUGGUGGAGUCAACCUUGAAAUACCACCCUUCGUUUAUCUGGAGCCUAAUCCCGUAAGGGAGACAGUGUAUGGUGGGUAGUUUGACUGGGGUGGUCGCCUCCAAAAGAGUAACGGAGGC
rnacentral:rRNA from 12 species